rnacentral:rRNA from 1 species
CCUACGGGUGGCAGCAGUGAGGAAUAUUGGUCAAUGGACGAGAGUCUGAACCAGCCAAGUAGCGUGAAGGAUGACUGCCCUAUGGGUUGUAAACUUCUUUUAUAUGGGAAUAAAAUGUUCCACGUGUGGGAUUUUGUAUGUACCAUAUGAAUAAGGAUCGGCUAACUCCGUGCCAGCAGCCGCGGUAAUACGGAGGAUCCGAGCGUUAUCCGGAUUUAUUGGGUUUAAAGGGAGCGUAGGUGGAUUGUUAAGUCAGUUGUGAAAGUUUGCGGCUCAACCGUAAAAUUGCAGUUGAAACUGGCAGUCUUGAGUACAGUAGAGGUGGGCGGAAGUCGUGGUGUAGCGGUGAAAUGCUUAGAUAUCACGAAGAACUCCGAGUGCGAAGGCAGUUCACUGGACUGCAACUGACACUGAGGCUCGAAAGUGUGGGUAUCAAACAGGAUUAGAUACCCGGGUAGUC